UUUUAGGUAAAUGUUGCUCUUCUAGUGCUGUGUUUGUGUCUCAACAUCUUUCCGGCCUUUUUAUGGGUCAAAGAAAAGAGACAAGAACGACAGAACAAACGUACUGGAGUAUAUGACGUAUGGAGAUUCAAGUAUAGUACCAAACAAUAAUAAUUGAACAAUAACUAUAAUUGAACAGUUAUAAUUGACGUGUGAAGAUUCAUUAACUGAAUAAUUGAAUAGUUUUAGGCUAUUCAAUAAUUUAUAGAGAUAAAAAUAUAAUCAUAUAAUUUUCAAAUUUACGCUUGAGGCUGUUUAUAUAUUGUCCCGCUUAUACGAUGAAUCGAUUCCGGGGAGUCCAAGAUCGAGCAUUUAAAGUUGUCUUUGGAAGUAAAACUAUUAAUAACUGGAUCUUAUUGUAAUCGAUUGGCCAUCCUGGAUGUUUGCAGAUGUUUGAAUGGAAGUGCACCUUCACCAUAUGAAAACUAUUUUAAAAGAAUUGAACAUAAAAUGAACACUCGAAAUAACAGAAAGAACAUUAUUUUUCCAAAGGUCAAAACUGAGAGUGGGAGAAGAUCAUUCAUGUUCCAAGGUGGAAAACUUUGGAAUACAUGCACUACCAGCAGAUCAGAAAGAG